UACAGAGGGUGCGAGCGUUAAUCGGAAUUACUGGGCGUAAAGGGCUCGUAGGCGGCCAACUAAGUCAGACGUGAAAUCCCCAGGCUCAACCUGGGAACUGCGUCUGAUACUGGAUGGCUUGAAUCCGGGAGAGGGAUGCAGAAUUCCAGGUGUAGCGGUGAAAUGCGUAGAUAUCUGGAGGAAUACCGGUGGCGAAGGCGGCAUCCUGGACCGGCAUUGACGCUGAGGAGCGAAAGCUAGGGGAGCAAACGGG
rnacentral:rRNA from 1 species